CCUGUUCCUUUUUAUUUUUCCCUACCAUGGAGGACGAGGACCUGUCAUUGCAUUUGGAGCCCACUCUAAUCCAGGAUGAUCUCAGCUCAAGAUCCUCAACUUAAUUACAUCUGCAUGUAUGCGGUGGCAGCUUUCUGGCGAUUUCUAGGCAAUGUACAGGAGGAAAGAAAGAAGGAAGGGGAGGGCACGGAGAAGCUCCGGAAGGCUGGAUGCUUGGGGAAGGAGGUCAGGAGGCAGGACCGGCCGGCCGCCCUCCAGACGUCCAGAUGUCCAGACGUCCAGCCAGCCAGAGACCGGUCUGCACCUGUCACAGGUGAUUCAGGGACAAAACUUUCCUGAAACAACAAGGCUCAAAUUAUAUCAUAAUUACAGACAUCCGUCGGCAAGCCCGCGUUUUAUUUCAAGGCCGGGAGCUGAAAUGAUCGUGUUCAGUCACGCACACCAUCUAUGAUAAGACGGAGUCUCGCUCUGUCACCCAGGCCGGAGUGCAAUGGCGCGAUCUCAGCUCACUGCAACCUCCACCUCCCGGGUUCAAGCGAUUCUCCUGCCUCAGCCUCCCGAGCAGCUGGGACUACAGGUUCCCCCCACCACGCCUGGCUAAUGUUUGUAUUUUUAGUAGAGACGGGAUUUCACCCCGUUGGCCAGGAUGGUCUCGAACUCCUGACCUCGUGAUCCACCCACUUCAGCCUCCCAAAGUGCUGGGAUGACAGGCGUGAGCCACCGCGCCCAGCCCUAUUUUUUUCUUUUUUGAGACGGAGUCUCGCUCUGUCGCCCAGGCUGGAGUGCAGUGGCACGAUCUCGGCUCACUGCAAGCUCCGCCUCCCAGGUUCACGCCAUUCUCCUGCCUCAGCCUCCCGAGUAGCUGGGACUACAGACGCCCGCCAGCACGCCCGGCUAAUUUUUUUUUUUUUGUAUUUUUAGUAGAGAAGGGGUUUCACCGUGUUACCCAGGAUGGUAUUGAUCUCCCGACCUCGUGAUCCACCCGCCUCGGCCUCCCAAAGUGCUGGGAUGACAGGCGUGAGCCACCGCGCCCAGCCCUAUUUUUUUCUUUUUUGAGACAGUCUCGCUUUGUCGUACAGGCUGGAGUGCAGGGGUGCAAUCAGGGUUCACUGCAGCCUCGAACUCCCAGGCUCAAGCGAUCUUCCUGCCUCAGCCUCCCAAGUAGCUGGAACCACAGGUCCGCACCACCACGCCCCGCUAUUUUUUGUGUUUUUUGUAGGGACGGGGUUGCACCAUGUUGCUCAGGCUGGUCUCGAAUUCCUGUGCUCAAGCGAUCCGCCAUCCUGGGCCUCCCAAAGUGCUGGGGUUACAGGCAUGCGGCCCCACGCCGGCCCAGUCUUUCCCUCUCCCACUGCUUCCCAGGGCUUCGCCUGUCUGAUCCCUGCCUGGGCACUGGCGCAAGGUCGCCUGCGAGCGCCAGGCCUUCCUGCCCGGUGGGAGACCGGAGGGCCCGCUCUCCGGCUCGAUCUGGUUCCCGGGUCAGCCAGCAGCCGCGCCUCUUCCUCCCGGACCCGGGACCCGCCCCUUGGCCGGGGCCGCGGCCGCAGCGCCCCCGGAGGGGCCGCCCUGCGCAUGCUCGCGGGAGGUGGGUGACCCGGGCGCGCGCUGCCCGAGGCCGGGGGGCGGUGGGGACAGCACAGGCGGGGCGGCUGAGCCGAGACCUUCCCACCCCGCCCCACGCCUGGUUGGGGACCUGACGCACCGUCGUGAGUGCGGCGGGUGCAGGUGUCCCUGGGGGCCGGGGGCAGACACUGGUGCGGGACGACCUGCUCUCGAGGGGGUCCGCAGGCCACACCCACAGAAACUGGGGCGCCUCCAGUCACCGCCGCGGUCCGCCCCGCCCGAGGCUUUGACCCCCUGAAUCAGCGUCGGGGCAGGGAUCCGCGUGGGGUGGAAGAGGCUGGGAAACUGGGGAGUCCCGGGCCUCCUCUGGAGCCGCCCGCCCUUGGCUGGCUGGUCCUUCUCUUCCUCCGCUCCCGCCGGGCUGGGCCCUGGGCCGCCCUCACUCCCUGCCCUCUGCAGCCUCCCUUGCGUUUGUCAUUCACUCUGCCAGGCUCUCCUUCUGCCUCCGCAUGCCCAACGAUCCGGAGAAAAACACGGACCAUGACAUCAAAAGGCCUUGGCAAAGGAAACGUGAUUAUUGUGAUACAAGAUUCUGCACCUCAAAGGGGAUCCCUGUAGUGAGUUUUGGAAAACGUACAAAGCCUGGCUUACAGUAUGCCUGUUAUCUGUGGCGUUUCAUCUGGGGAACUUACUUUUCCUUGAUAGGGUAAACUAUUCUCAUCCAGAGUAUGUCCCUCAGUCUGUAAAAGUCCAUGGUGCCCUACAUCUAUUAGGGGAGUGAGGAAGGGCAGUGGGCAUUGGAUCUGCUUCUUUGAAAGCCCCCACCUGUGUUUAGCUUCUCUGUUAGAGGCCUUUGAACCAGAGCAACUCCAUUUUGAGUAGGCGCUUGGUACAAUGAGGCUGAGACCUACUGGGCUGUGUUCCCAGGCGGUUGAGGCAUUCUAAGUCACAGGAUGAGAUGAGAGGUCGGCACAAGCAGUAAAGAAGCCGCGGCCAAAACCCACCAAAACCAAGAUGGGGAUGCGAAUGACCUCUGGUCGUCCUCACUGCUACACUCCCACCAGCGCCAAGACAGCUUACAAAUGCCGUGGCAACGCCAGAAUGUUACCCUAUAUGGUCUAAAAAGGGGAGGCAUGAAUAAUCCACCCCUUCUUUAGCAUAUAAUCAAUAAAUAACCAUAAAAAUGAGCAACCAGCAGCCCUCGGGGCUGCUCUAUGGAGUAGCCGUUGUUUUAUUUCUUUACUUUUUUUUUUUUUUGAGAGGGAGUCUUGCUCUUGCUCAGGCUGGAGUGCAGUGGCGUGAUCUCGGCUCACUGCAAUCUCCUUCUCCUGGGUUCAAGCGAUUCUCCUGCCUCAGCUUUCGAGUGGCUGGGACUUCAGGUGCCCACCACCAUGCCGGCUUUUUUUUUUUGUACUUUUAAUAGAGACGGGGUUUCACCACGAUGGCCAGGGUGGUCUCGAACUCCUGUCCUCAGAUGAUCUGCCCGCCUUGGCCUCCCAAAGUGCUGGGAUUAUAGGCGUGAGCCACCGUGCCCAGCCCUAUUCCUUUACUUUUUUUUUUUUGAGGUGGAUUCUCACACCUGACCUCCAAUAUGUUUAUUCAUAUUGCUGAGGCAGGGGAUUGCUUGAGCCCAAGAGUUUGAGGUUGCAGUGAACCAUGAUCAUAAGCUGUAUUUCAGCGUGAGUGAGAGAUUGAGAACUUGUCUCACAAAAUAAAAGUUAAAAAGUCCUUAUCUGGAGGUGAGAAAGCCAAAUACAAAGGUCUUCUCAGUUGGUUCCCAGUCUUCCCAGUCCAGCAGCCUCAGCAUCACCAGGGAGCUGGUUAGGCAAAUUCUCGGCGGCCCCAACCUACUGAAUUGGAGACCCUGAAGAUGGGGCUAUCUGAAUUUUAACAAGGCCUCCAGGUUUGCAUGCUCAAGACUGAGAACCACUGGCAAAAGCAAACAAUUUGAAUCUGAAGUCAGCCCACCUGCAUUUGAAUACAGGCCCUGCCGCUUAAUAACUGUGAUUUAGAGCAAGUUAGUUACUUAACAGCUAGGUUGACCAAUUGUCCGAGUUUGCCUGGCACUGUCCUGAUUUCAGCAUUGAAAGUACUACAUUAUCGCUGUGGCUCACGCCUGUAAUCCCAGCUUCUCAAGCUGUCCCUGUGGAAUCCUCCAUAUCGGUACAUUCAUCCCUAUCUAGCAUCCCCUUCCUCCCUCGCCCGUCCUGCACCCUCAGAAUUCAUUCUCAGAUCAGCUUCCCGGAUUUUUGCCAAUAUCAAUUAAAAAAUUUUUUUAGCCAACCAUGUACUGUGAGUAAGCCAAUAUCAAUUAGCAAAAUCUUUAGUUUCUUUUGGUGAUUCAGUAUCUUCCCCCUGGAGUUUUUUGAUGAUUCAGUACCCUCCUAGAUUUGGCCCCUGGGGCCUGCGGGGUUGUGACUUGUCAUUUAAUUCUGGAGAAAAUGAGGGGUAGGGCUUAUAAGGAGACUCCUUCGGGGCAGGGUCAUUACAGGGUGUGUUACAUAGGGAAAUGCUAGCUGCUGGCUAGCUCUCGCUCUUGAAAGGCUCUUCCUCCCUCAACUGAAAUGGGGAAGGGGGAACCCCGGCCGACUGAGGUCCUGACAUCUUUAGCACAUGGCUUCUUAGGUCACCCAGGGCAUCCAGGUUACCAGCUUGGGAAACAGGAGAUGUAGGUUGGAGGAAGAGGCUACAGCCCAUCCUGGAAAUAACUGCCAUCCGUCCCACCCAUAUGGUUAGGCUUUGUGUCCCCACCCAGAUCUCAUCUCGAAUUACAAUCCCCACGGGUUGAGGGAUGGACCAGGUGGAGGUACUUGCAUCAUGGGGGCAGUUUCCCCCAUGCUGUGCUCGUGAGAGUGAGUGAGUUCUCACGAGAUCUGAUGGUUUUAAAGCGUGGCAGUUCCUCUUUCUCAUGCUUACGUCCUCGUAACUGUCCUGUGGAGAAGGUGUCUGCUUUCCCCUACCUGCAUGGUUGUAAGUUUCCUGAAGCCUCCCCAGCCGUGUGGAACUACCCAGCACACAGGCCAGGACGUCAGGGUGUCGUGAGGGGCCGUCGGAGAACAUCUAAGGGACGUCCCUGCAUUCCUGGCUGGAGGUCCUGCACCAGCAGCCUCCGUGUGAGAAAACUUUCACUCUGCAAACUCUCAGAGCCCCCACCUGCUCCCGCCUCCCGUCUGUCCUGGUUCUUGGGACCCCGGAGCCUUCUCUGUCCAGACCUCCCAGGUCCUGACGGGAAUCCGGAUAAACUCGUUGGGGCGAAGGUGUUAACGGCAGGCCCCUGUCUAAUGUAUUUCGCCACCCAGAUAAAAUGAGUGUUUUCACA